GCAAGUUGAUGAAGAUCAAAUCUUUAGGAAAAUGUAUAGAUGAACAUGUGAAUUAUCCUAACUAUGAAAAGAUUUGUGCUAAAGGUUAUGAAACAACAACAGACGAAAUUAUCGAAGACUGCAGUAAGCAGUGUCAACUAGCAUGCCAAGAGAACUCAUACAAAAUGGUAUAUGAAGAGCUAGGUUCUGAGGAAGAUAAAGUAAGACGCAUAUUUUAAUUUCUACAAGCCUAUAUAGCUUAAAAACGACGAUUAGCAGCCAAUUUCAG